rnacentral:rRNA from 1 species
UACGAAGGGUGCAAGCGUUACUCGGAAUUACUGGGCGUAAAGCGUGCGUAGGUGGUGAGUUAAGUCUGUCGUGAAAGCCCCGGGCUCAACCUGGGAAUGGCGAUGGAUACUGGCUCGCUAGAGUGCGGUAGAGGAGAGUGGAAUUCCCGGUGUAGCAGUGAAAUGCGUAGAGAUCGGGAGGAACAUCAGUUGCGAAGGCGGCUCUCUGGACCAGCACUGACGCUGAGACGCGAAAGCGUGGGGAGCGAACAGG